rnacentral:rRNA from 1 species
UACAGAGGGUGCGAGCGUUGUCCGGAAUCACUGGGCGUAAAGGGCGCGUAGGUGGCCACCAUAAGGCCGCGGUGAAAGUCUGGGGCUCAACCCCGGAUCGGCCGCGGCGACUGUGGGGCGUAGGGUACCGUAGAGGCAGAUGGAAUUCCGGGUGUAAGCGGUGGAAUGCGUAGAUAUUGGGAGGAACACCAGUGGCGAAGGCGGCUCAGCUGGACCGGAACUGGACGCGUAGAGGCGCGAAAGCGUAGGGGAGCAAAACGGG